AUGCUUGCUUCAACAGCACAUAUGCUAAAAUUGCAAUGAUACGGAGAUCAGCAUGGCCCCUGUGCCAAGAGUGACAUGCAUAUUUGUGAUGUGUUCCAUGUUUUU
rnacentral:snRNA from 1 species